rnacentral:rRNA from 1 species
AUUGAACGCUGGCGGCAUGCUUUACACAUGCAAGUCGAACGGUAACAGGCCGCAAGGUGCUGACGAGUGGCGAACGGGUGAGUAAUGCAUCGGAACGUGCCCAGUCGUGGGGGAUAACGCAGCGAAAGCUGUGCUAAUACCGCAUACGAUCUAUGGAUGAAAGCGGGGGACCGUAAGGCCUCGCGCGAUUGGAGCGGCCGAUGUCAGAUUAGCUAGUUGGUGGGGUAAAGGCCCACCAAGGCGACGAUCUGUAGCUGGUCUGAGAGGACGACCAGCCGCACUGGGACUGAGACACGGCCCAGACUCCUACGGGAGGCAGCAGUGGGGAAUUUUGGACAAUGGGCGCAAGCCUGAUUCAGCAAUGCCGCGUGCAGGAAGAUGGCCUUCGGGUUGUAAACUGCUUUUGUACGGAACGAAACGGUCUGGGUUAAUACCCUGGGCUAAUGACGGUACCGUAAGAAUAAGCACCGGCUAACUACGUGCCAGCAGCCGCGGUAA